rnacentral:sRNA from 1 species
AUUUUGGAUGGUUGUGAUUGGCGACUUUGACUCGAAGUGAGGAGUUCUUCCGAGCACCUGCUUAUAAAGCUCCCUCCAUUACGGGACUCGUGUCGGGAUUACACAACUCUCGCGUGAAUUACGUCCUCGUGUGAUCAGGAAGCGGCACCUUUGCAGAAUUUUUUAAAUGCUGGACUGCUCAGGUUCAAACACACUCCUAAGGAGUAUAUGUAAUACUGUGUUUUUCUCGUAACUUUCGUCUGUCCGUCUGAAAAUGGCCAAACUAUUUCGGGAAAAGAUUGUACAUUUAUUAAUGAAUCGUUAAUUAGAACGGUAAGAUUUGUGUACUCUGUAGCUGACAGUUUAUGAAAUUAUUUUCUGCAAUUAAAGCGAUUAAUGUUAAAGGAUUUUGUAUAACUUGAGUUGGUUUUCUAAUGCUAGAUUUUAAAUUUGAUCAUAGGACAAUGUUGUUAAUGAAUAGCUGGCUUUGUAUUUUAUGAAUGUCAUGAACAAUCGUAGCAUUUUGUCAAACAUUGGACUUGCAGUGUUUUAUAGUUGAUAUUUUAAAAAUAUGCAUUUCUCUUUUUUAAUCUUUUUUAUUAUAAGCAGAAGAAUGGCAUGACUGAAGUAGUAUGUAGUGUAUGAUUUAUUGUGAUUCAGUGUACAUGCAUAUUCAUUUAUCUCAUGUUUAAGAGAAGGCAAUAAAUUUAAUCAUGAAU